rnacentral:rRNA from 1 species
UACGGAGGGGGCUAGCGUUGUUCGGAAUUACUGGGCGUAAAGCGCACGUAGGCGGCUUUGUAAGUUAGAGGUGAAAGCCCAGGGCUUAACCCUGGAAUUGCCUUUAAGACUGCAUCGCUAGAAUCGUGGAGAGGUAAGUGGAAUUCCGAGUGUAGAGGUGAAAAUUCGUAGAUAUUCGGAAAGAACACCAGUGGCGAAGGCGACUACUGGACACGUAUUGACGCUGAG